GUUCCACCCCGACCCGAGCGCGAGCCUGGGGCUUCAAUUAGCUUACUGGCCGCUACCUGAGCCCAGGUGGGGGCAAUAUAAGUACUGUUCCGGAGGACAAGUACACAUCACUCCACUGCCUCCUUCCGCAACACACCUUUUCGUGAACUUUCUACUUCCCGAACCUGCCCAGCAGGAUGCGAAGGCCACCCCAAUGUCACCGGGGCUUAUUGUCAGGCUAUCUGGUCAGUCUGGCUGCCCCCCAGGCUUGCCAAGUGUAGAGACUGCUGGUAGCCUUAGCACCCAACCCACGGGAGGUCAUGGGGAUAAAGAAGACAGGAAAAAGGACUGAAAAGGACCAGCCAGCACAAUAGGAGGAGCUCAGUUUUGAGUAACACAAGUUAGAGGCAGCUGACCUUCACAUGACCAAGGGUCGGGAGAUGUUAUGAGGAGGUUCCCUUGAGUCUGGUGAUUAGCCUCUGAAGAGGGGACCUGCCGUUCAAAGGCCAAGACUUCAGGACAUUGCCCAGGCCCUGGAAACACUAACA